CAGUAGCCACGGGAACACGUAGGGUGCAAGCGUUAAUCGGAAUUACUGGGCGUAAAGCGUGCGCAGGCGGUUAUAUAAGACAGAUGUGAAAUCCCCGGGCUCAACCUGGGAACUGCAUUUGUGACUGUAUAGCUAGAGUACGGCAGAGGGGGAUGGAAUUCCGCGUGUAGCAGUGAAAUGCGUAGAUAUGCGGAGGAACACCGAUGGCGAAGGCAAUCCCCUGGGCCUGUACUGACGCUCAUGCACGAAAGCGUGGGGAGCAAACAGGAUUAGAGACCCGGGUAGUCCCUGUCUCUUAUAC
rnacentral:rRNA from 1 species